UGGGGAAUAUUGGGCAAUGGGCGAAAGCCUGACCCAGCAACGCCGCGUGAGUGAUGAAGGCCUUCGGGUCGUAAAGCUCUGUCGGAGGGAACGAAUGCUCCUGAAGUUAACAGCCUCAGGAGGUGACGGUACCCUCAAAGGAAGCACCGGCUAACUCUGUGCCAGCAGCCGCGGUAAUACAGAGGGUGCAAGCGUUGUUCGGAUUUACUGGGCGUAAAGGGCGCGUAGGCGGUGUGUCAAGUCAGUUGUGAAAUCUCCGAGCUUAACUCGGAACGGUCAACUGAUACUGUCACACUAGAGUACAGAAGGGGCAAUCGGAAUUCUUGGUGUAGCGGUGAAAUGCGUAGAUAUCAAGAGGAACACCUGAGGCGAAGGCGGGUUGCUGGGCUGAUACUGACGCUGAGGCGCGAAAGCUAGGGUAGCAAACGGGAUUAGAUACCCAAGUAGUCCCUGAGCGGGCUGGCAAGGCGCAU
rnacentral:rRNA from 1 species